GGCCUCCUGACUAUACUGACUCAAUAAUAGGGGCGGUUAGGCCUCCCUGCUCAUACUCUUUAUGCUUGACUCUUCCAUUACUCUUUUCUCGACUUUUCAUGUCAUACUGAGGGCUAAAGGGUUAUUCAACAUUCAUCCGCAUACUCAUCCAGUUAUGCAAUGCAGCAUCUUCAUGGUUCUAAUGCAACAACCUAUUAUCUCAUGGCAUUCAUGAUGCAUGUCUCAUGUUCGUCACAUUAUUAUCUUUUAGUAUUAACCAUCCUAGCAUUAACAUGGCAAUUAUGAUGCA
rnacentral:lncRNA from 1 species